rnacentral:rRNA from 1 species
GACUGCGUACCUUUUGUAUAAUGGGUCAGCGACUUAUAUUCUGUAGCAAGGUUAACCGUAUAGGGGAGCCGAAGGGAAACCGAGUCUUAACUGGGCGUUAAGUUGCAGGGUAUAGACCCGAAACCCGGUGAUCUAGCCAUGGGCAGGUUGAAGGUUGGGUAACACUAACUGGAGGACCGAACCGACUAAUGUUGAAAAAUUAGCGGAUGACUUGUGGCUGGGGGUGAAAGGCCAAUCAAACCGGGAGAUAGCUGGUUCUCCCCGAAAGCUAUUUAGGUAGCGCCUCGUGAACUCAUCUUCGGGGGUAGAGCACUGUUUCGGCUAGGGGGUCAUCCCGACUUACCAACCCGAUGCAAACUGCGAAUACCGAAGAAUGUUAUCACGGGAGACACACGGCGGGUGCUAACGUCCGUCGUGAAGAGGGAAACAACCCAGACCGCCAGCUAAGGUCCCAAAGUCACAGUUAAGUGGGAAACGAUGUGGGAAGGCUCAGACAGCCAGGAUGUUGGCUUAGAAGCAGCCAUCAUUUAAAGAAAGCGUAAUAGCUCACUGGUCGAGUCGGCCUGCGCGGAAGAUGUAACGGGGCUAAACUGUGCACCGAAGCUGCGGCAGCGACGCUUAUGCGUUGUUGGGUAGGGGAGCGUUCUGUAAGCCUGCGAAGGUGUCCUGUGAGGGAUGCUGGAGGUAUCAGAAGUGCGAAUGCUGACAUAAGUAACGAUAA